CUCUCCUCCCCGCCCCCCUCCCGGGACGCGCUCCAGGUGUGUGCGCCCAGGGUGCGCGCUCGGGGGUGCGCGCCGUAGGGGAGCGCGCGCCGCCCCCGCCGCUCCCCCGGGACGCGACCCCGCGCACCUCCUGGCGGGGCCGCGCCCGCAGCCUGGGGGGCAGGCGCGGCCGGGUCGCCGCUGGAAAGAAGCCGCGUCCGUGCCCAGGCGCCCCGAGGACCCGUGCGUCUCCGCCCCCCGCCCCCCGCGCCCUCCCCGGCUUCGCCGACGACCCGCGCGGCCUCCCCCGGACCCCGCUGCGCUCCCGGCCCGCGCGGAGCCGCACACUUGCCCGCGCCCCCCGCGGGACCCCGAGCCCUCGAUGCCCCCUGCCCCGACCGUUAUCCCAAUAAUAAAUCGUAAAAAUGAAAAAGUAAGCCCCCCAGAGCGUGCGUCCUCUGUUGUGUGUGCGUGUGUUGUUCGUUUUUUUGUUUUGUUUUGUUUGUUUGUUUGUUUUUGUUUUUUAGGUUUUAACGCGUAGAAGCCGUUUUCGCCGCGCAAGGACCGGCGAGCGCAGCGGGUCACCCCGCUGGAGGAGUCCCGCCGACUCCCGGCCUCCGGGGGCCGCGCCCGCGCUCGGGGUUCGGGAGCCGCGAAGACGCGUACUUGGUGGGGGCCUUGCCUUCUUCCUCCUGCGCUCCCCCAACCUGCGAGCCUGUUGCAGUCAGUAUCCCUACGGACUUGUGUGUUCCAUUGGAAUUCUUUUCUUUCUUUUUAGAUUUUAUUUAUUUAUUCAUGAGAGAGGCAGAGACACAGGCAGAGGGAGAAGCAGGCUCCAUGCAGGGAGCCCGACGUGGGACUCGAUCCCGGGUCUCCAGGAUCGCGCCCUGGGCGCCCUGGGCUGAAGGCGGGCGCUAAGCCGCUGAGCACCCGGGCUGCCCUCCCUUGGAUUGGGGCCAGUCUGCAGGCCGGAGAGGCAGGAUUCUGGGGAACCAGCACGGAGCAGGUGGGCACUCGUGUCGCCUGUUAGCACAGACAGGAGGCUCCCAUGUCAGCAGGCACAGGGAGAGGCUUGGCCGGCCAGUCAGCCUUCUGGACACAGGAAGAUUUAUUUAAGAGAGAGCACGCACGCACAAGUCGGGCAAGAGGCAGAGGAGAGGGAGAGAAAUCCUUAAGCAGACUCCAUGCUGAGCGCAGAGCCCAACAUGGGGCUCGAUCCCAGGACCCCAGAUCAUGACCUGAGUGGAAAUCAAGAGUCUGACGCUCAACUAACUGAGACAGC